rnacentral:rRNA from 1 species
UACAGAGGUCCCAAGCGUUGUUCGGAUUCAUUGGGCGUAAAGGGUGCGUAGGCGGUUGCCUAAGUCAGGUGUGAAAUCUCGAGGCUCAACCUCGAAACUGCACUUGAUACUGGGUGACUUGAGUACUGGGAGGGGAGACUGGAAUUUACGGUGUAGCAGUGAAAUGCGUAGAUAUCGUAAGGAAGACCAGUGGCGAAGGCGAGUCUCUGGACAGUUACUGACGCUGAGGCACGAAGGCUAGGGGAGCAAACGGG